GUACUUUCAGACUGGUAAAAUGUAUUUCUGCCACACUGAUUUCGUUCUAUCCUAAACUUAAGAAGCCAUGUUUCCUGUUGCACGAAUCUUAGGCUCGACAUCAUGCAACAGGCUAUUUCAACGUCAGGGGCUCUGUCGAGAAAGUGUUUGUUGGCCUUCCAAUGAGUUGCACAGAAAUUUACCAAGGCAUAGAAACUUUUGCCAAGGUAGAAACAUUUUCCACCCGAGGUCGAAUAAUAUUUUAAACAAACUUCCUGUCAAACGUCAAUUCACUGACAAAUUUUCCGAGAAGGGCAGAGGCGAGGAACUUAACUAUGUUCUCAAGCUUGCCUCAGAGCAAUUUAUGAAGAUAAAAAAGAACCGGGUUAAAGAAAUCGCCAAUGAUAUCGUGAAAUUGAAAGAGGAGAUCAAGACUUUGGAGUCCAAAACUAGCCACAAAUCAAGGAAACAGAAGGAGAAUCUCCUUAAGGAGUUGAAAGCUCUGAAGGAUUUGUUGGAGCAAUUCAAAAAGAGUCUCGAAAAAUGACCUGAAUGAAAUGUAUCAACAAACGUUACUAUAGUAAAUUCCAAAUUAUCUCAACAAGUUUUGGCGCGCUCCGUAAGGAUACAAUGCUGAAGGUGGUCGAGAAGCUUUUCCAACUGUUGCGACCCAGGAUGUGUCAGUUUUCGCAAUCGAACAAGUAAGUUCCGGGCUCUGAGCACUUAUGGCUUCGAUUAUUAGAUGCAUCUCUGUAUCCAGGAACAUAUCCAAGCAUUUGUUCGAGAAAGCCAGGGCGGAGGAGAACAUACAUUUCCUUAAGCUGCAACGGGAACAGCUGAAGACGCUGCGAGAAAAGAUUCUCAGCCAGAAGAA
rnacentral:misc_RNA from 13 species